rnacentral:tRNA from 1 species
ACGGAUAUGGCUCAGUUUGGUAGAGCGCUUGCUUCGGGAGCAAGAGGUCACAGGUUCAAAUCCUGUUAUCCGUACCA